AACGAACGCUGGCGGCAUGCCUAACACAUGCAAGUCGAACGAGACCUUCGGGUCUAGUGGCGCACGGGUGCGUAACGCGUGGGAAUCUGCCCUUGGGUUCGGAAUAACUCAGAGAAAUUUGAGCUAAUACCGGAUGAUGACGAAAGUCCAAAGAUUUAUCGCCGAAGGAUGAGCCCGCGUAAGAUUAGCUUGUUGGUGGGGUAAUGGCCCACCAAGGCGACGAUCUUUAGCUGGUCUGAGAGGAUGAUCAGCCACACUGGGACUGAGACACGGCCCAGACUCCUACGGGAGGCAGCAGUGGGGAAUAUUGGACAAUGGGCGAAAGCCUGAUCCAGCAAUGCCGCGUGAGUGAUGAAGGCCUUAGGGUUGUAAAGCUCUUUUACCAGGGAUGAUAAUGACAGUACCUGGAGAAUAAGCCCCGGCUAACUCCGUGCCAGCCGCCGCAGUAAUAC
rnacentral:rRNA from 1 species